rnacentral:rRNA from 1 species
UGGUGGAGUGAUUUGUCUGGUUAAUUCCGUUAACGAACGAGACCUCGACCUGCUAAAUAGUGCACUUGAUGUUUACAUCGGGGUUGGCUUACUUCUUAGAGGGACUUUGUGUUUCUGCAGUGCAAGGAAGUUCGAGGCAAUAACA